UUGCAUGUGGAAAUGUCUGCUCCUCAUUCCUUUGAGAGCAGAAAUACGUCCAUAACAUGCUACAUUAAAAAGAGGAGUUCUCAGGGCUGCCAACCUUACAGUAGAGGUUGAGUAGUAGUAUAUUACUCCUACAGAA
ensembl:snoRNA